rnacentral:rRNA from 1 species
CGGAGGAUGCAAGCGUUAUCCGGAAUGCUUGGGCGUACAGGGUCCGCAGGUGGCAAUGUGUGUCUGCUGUCAAAGAAUGAGGCUUAACCUCAUCAAGGCAGUGGAAACUACAUAGCUAGAGUACGGUCGGGGUAGAAGGAAUUCCUGGUGUAGCGGUGAAAUGCGUAGAGAUCAGGAAGAACACCGGUGGCGAAAGCGUUCUGCUAGACCUGUACUGACACUGAGGGACGAAAGCUAGGGGAGCGAAUGGG